rnacentral:rRNA from 1 species
GACGAACGCUGGCGGCGUGCUUAACACAUGCAAGUCGAACGGUGAAGCGCCUUCCUUUUUGGUGGGUGUGGAUGAGUGGCGAACGGGUGAGUAACACGUGAGUAACCUGCCCCCUUCUUCUGGAUAACCGCAUGAAAGUGUGGCUAAUACGGGAUAUUCUGGGUCUGUCGCAUGAUGGGUCUGGGAAAGAUAUUGUUUCGGUGGGGGAUGGGCUCGCGGCCUAUCAGCUUGUUGGUGGGGUGAGGGCCUACCAAGGCGGUGACGGGUAGCCGGCCUGGGAGGGUGGACGGUCACACUGGGACUGAGACACGGCCCAGACUCCUACGGGAGGCAGCAGUGGGGAAUAUUGCACAAUGGGCGCAAGCCUGAUGCAGCGACGCCGCGUGAGGGAUGGAGGCCUUCGGGUUGUGAACCUCUUUCGCCAGUGAAGCAGGCCUGCCUCGUUUGUGGGUGGGUUGACGGUAGCUGGAUAAGAAGCGCCGGCUAACUACGUG